AGUGGGGAAUAUUGGACAAUGGGCGCAAGCCUGAUCCAGCCAUGCCGCGUGAGUGACGAAGGUCUUCGGAUUGUAAAGCUCUUUUGGCGGGGACGAUAAUGACGGUACCCGCAGAAUAAGCCCCGGCUAACUUCGUGCCAGCAGCCGCGGUAAUACGAAGGGGGCUAGCGUUGUUCGGAAUUACUGGGCGUAAAGCGCACGUAGGCGGACUCUUAAGUCAGGGGUGAAAUCCCGGGGCUCAACCUCGGAACUGCCUUUGAUACUGUGAGUCUCGAGACCGGAAGAGGUGAGUGGAAUUCCUAGUGUAGAGGUGAAAUUCGUAGAUAUUAGGAAGAACACCAGUGGCGAAGGCGGCUCACUGGUCCGGUUCUGACGCUGAGGUGCGAAAGCGUGGGGAGCAAA
rnacentral:rRNA from 1 species